GAUUUGCAUAAGGCCUACAGUGCGUCCUAUCCAGACGCACUCUUUUUGCAUAAAACAACACAGGGGGAGACGGCAAACUGCAGAAACUCAGUCGCUGAAUGAACCAGAUGAGAAGUUGGAAGAAAAGAAUCUCUAAUUCAGGAAAGUCUGAGGGUAAUAUAAUACCAGCUCCAGCUGACAGGUUUGUAUUCUUUUUAAUCCAUACACACUUUAUUUUGUACAUUUCAACAUUUGUGAGAAACAUCAAUCCAGGAGCAGAGGAUCAGUCUAAACUGCUCAGGUUCAUGGUGUCAGGAUUUGGAGUAAAAUCUGCCAGGAAGGUGGUGAGAGUGCCGUCUGUGUGCCUGAGCUCCACACUGAUGAUGUCCCUCUCGCUGUCCGACUCUAAAGUCUCUGCACUGAUCUGUCCAUCGUCCAGGCGCACCAGGACUUUCAGCUCUGCACACA